rnacentral:tmRNA from 2 species
GGGGAUGUAAAGGUUUCGACGUAUAUGGUUGUAUCACGAAUAGCGAGCCGGGGUUUCAUCUGCCCGAAAAUCGGUGAACCGUUUAAAUUAAACGCAAAAGAAAACUUUGCAUUAGCUGCCUAAGGGCAACUACGUCACUAGCCGCUGAUCCUGCGGGCAGUUAGCUGACGUCACUUAGCGGGAUACCAAUCGGCAUCGCCUGGCUGCCGAUUCGGGAAAUUCACAGGCUAUGACAGUCCAGUUUGUCCUUGUACGACCGCUGUCAGACAUACCAAACAAGGUCUGCGCUCGGAGAAAUUCGUGGGGCGGCAUGUACGGACAGGAGUUCGACUCUCCUCAUCUCCACCA